ensembl:lncRNA
GACAACUGCAUCCUCAGACAACAAAGAGGACCGACUCUUGAAUCUCUCUCUCGUUACUGUUAAGCAAGGUCCUCAAAGAAGUUUGUAGUUGAUUCAGGCAUCUGUCAGGGCUAGAGGUUGUUGUUUCUGUCCAUGGGAUCAAUCUUCCUGUCUGACCCUAAAGGACAAACGGAACUCUUGAGGAUGUGGAAGGAGAGAGAGAGACGGAUUUUUUUUUUCUUAUGCAGUAACAAGCUUGUGAGAAGGCCAGAAGAAACAUAUAGGAAGGAAAUGAGAAGGACUGAUGAUGAUGAGAUGAAGGAAUGGGGACUCAGAGGUUGCAGAUGUCAUGUGAUCCAGUCCAAACGCCGGCUUCUGGUCUCCUAUCAGCCAUGAAGCUUGUUGAGUGCUGACUGCAAUAUAGCUUUUGAAUACCUUGAAAUCACAUCACAAUGUAAAAUUCAGCCAGCCUAAACAACCCCUUACAUAUGAAGUGUAAAAGCUCAGUGGCUUAACUCCUCUGCUUUGUUUUGUUAUCUGUAAUGUCUCAGCACUUAUAUCAGGAUACAUAGACCUAAUGAGACACUUUCUGGUCUUAACCAGUGUUGGGGAAGUUAAUUUGAAAUUGUAACUUGUCAAGCUACAAGCUAAUCAUAAUUUGAAUUAUUAAGUUUAAAGAGAUACUUCACCCAAAAAUGAAAAUCCUGACUUCUAAGGAAGACAGUGGCUACUGGCAACUGUUUGGUUACCAACAUUUUUCAAAAUAUCUUCUUUUAUGUUCAACAGAGGAAAGAAACUCAUACAUUUUUGGAACAAUAUAAGGUUAGUUUUUAGGUGAACAAUCCCUUUAUCUAAGCUACUUUUUUGAAGUCCUUAGCUACCCUGCAAGCCACAAACAAAUCCUAGGUAGUUAUUUAAUAACUUAUAGGCUUAAUAUUAUUAUAUAAUCAUAGCCAUGUUUUUGUUGACACAGUUAUGGUUCUAGUAUCAACUUGACCAUGUAGAUUUAUACUAACUAAAACAAUGACACCCUAAUUUGUACAAAUGUCAGUGACUUGAAUCAGUGAAU